CAGGACAGAGGGAGGGCGGCUGUGACCAGCACACGGUACGUGCUUCCCGUGCGCAAGGCCCCGGGAGCUCAUCAGCUUGCGUAACCAUCACUUACAAUGAUAACCAAGGGGAGUGCUGAAGGCAGAAAAUCACUGAACUGGGGAGCCCAGAAAGCAGCAGCCGUAAAUACGAGAUGACCUUCCAAGAGCCGGAUGCCUGAAUUUACGACUUUGGAGACUACGAGACCAUGGGCCGCAGCAAGGGGAGCAUCGCGGCAGCAGGGGGCUGAGGAGGAAGGGAGAGCUCAUGGCCUUAAGUGAGGAGCGCAGCGGCCAGGCUGGACCUUCGCCGGCUCGCGGCAGGGCCUUCGCGGCGCCGCCCGCAGUAAGGCUCCGUGAGAAGAGCUGUGGACCAGGCCGGCGGCCUGAACGAUCCCGGGGCCUGAGGGCCGCUCCGGGACGCGCUCGAGGGCAAGGGGCGGGAGGCCAGGUCAAGGUCAGGCCCUGGGAAUAAGCCGGGGGAGGAGGAGCGACUCUGAAGGGGCGGGGCGACCGAUCGCGUCCCUGGGCAGGCACAGGGCACAGCACCGACUGCAAGCUAGGUUAAAGGCCACGUUUCGGGAUCCGGCAGGAAGCUCCUGUCCGUGGAGGGCCGCAGUCUAGCAUGUCCUGUCCUGUGUUCUUGACCACAAGGCCACCAUGCAGUGAGCAGCUGUCCUCCACCAGGCUCUUUUGCCUCAUGUUUCUGGAGUGGAGCAGCUGGCCAUGGACUGAACCCAGUGGAACUGUGAACCAAUGUACCGUGGUCUCCGCCUCCCUCCCCAUGAGAUCACAUUCUUUGGCCUCACACCUACUGCCACCACCACCACCAAGUCUUCCCUUGAAAAAUCUAAAUCGGAAAGAAAACAGCUGAGUGACACCAGAAAAUUAAAUACAUAAAACCAUGUAUCUUCCCUCUGGAGUCUACCCCAUGGCCAAUGCUGGUUUGCUUCGACUGCUCCUUUCCAGUUUCAACCACCCAGUUCCACUAACUACAGCUCUGAAGACUGGGAAACUCCACAGCCAAGCUAAAUCAACCCAGAAGAGUAGAUCCUUCACGGAGAAAAAAGAUUGUCUGCAGCCGAAGAGAGGUAAAAGAGGGGAGGACUAUCACACAGGACAGAAGACUGUCCCUGUGCUUCCCUACCUUUCAGCACUGAGCUUCCACACCCUCAAGUCAUUACUUCUGGUUCAAGAUGGUGUGACUCACAUCAAAUGAAACAGGGUUAGAAGAGCUUUUAUAGAAAAAACUUCCAAAGUGAGUCUGAAGUAAAAAGUCUAACAGUGUCUUAAAUUUAUUCCUUGCUAAUGUAGAAGUUCAUCUAAUUAAAUUUGAUGUUUGGGUUGGAGUCAGUAUGGAGCACUUGCCUUACAUGUGGGAGCUCGGAGUUCACUACCCAGUGUUGCAAAAUAAAUAAAAAUGAAUGAAAGUCUUCUUUAUCACCUAGGAAUCAUGAGUGUUGAGCAAUUUCAUGGAAAGCCAAUAAUGCCCCCUUUCUGGAUUCAGCAUGUCAAAUCUGACUGCAGCACUGGAUGUGGAAUUCUAGGAUAUUGUCCACUAAGUAUUUUUAGUAUUUUCAUGGCAUACAAGGACCUCUGUAGGCUGCAAUCUAGUCCUGGGUUCACAAAAACUCAUUUGGUUAAAAUUUUAAAAUCCUAGAAACUCAGAUUCUCCUGCAAGGAAAAGAUCACCUCAUUUGAGAGAAAGGCCAAUGUACAGAAAUGUGCACACACAGCACACAGAUUUGAUGGAAUUCCCCACAAGGCACACAGUUCGCCAAUACUAUGUUGUUCCCACACCUGAAGCUGUUACGGUUCCCGGCUUUGGGCAAACGGAAGUUGGUGCUUACUGUCACCCAGAGUCCGAGGCUCCGUGGUCUCACUGGCAGAUGACAGGACACGACCAGGUUUGGAGCGACCUUUGUAACAGCUUCAGCUAAGUCUGAUUACUCCAAAUAUAUGGGUUCUGAAGCUGUGAUUUUGGACUCUAAUGCCUGUUUUGCUCUUGGAAGCAUCUUUAGUUUCUUGCUUUACUUUCUGCCUCAAAUUUGGACUUAGCUCUUUCAUCUGCUCCAAGGUUUCUGUCCAGAUUCACUCCCACAAAUCUCCAACAGAAGGUAACAAACAGCACAGCGACUCAGCAUUCUAAAUUUCAAUGUAAAAAAUAUGAAAAAUGGUUAAUGUAAGAUUCUUAUACAGGUGCCAGUUCUAUCUACCAGUAGUUAAUCAUGGGGAGGGCAACUCACAUUUUUAAUCAUUGUUCUUCAUCUUGGGUUUGUUCCAG
rnacentral:lncRNA from 1 species